rnacentral:rRNA from 1 species
CCUACGGGGUGCAGCAGUAGGGAAUUUUCGUCAAUGGGCGCAAGCCUGAACGAGCGAUGCCGCGUGAGUGAAGAAGGCCUUCGGGUCGUAAAGCUCUGUUGCGGGGGAAAAAAGGCAGCAUCAGGAAAUGUGUGCUGACUGAUGGUGCCCCGCCAGCAAGUCACGGCUAACUACGUGCCAGCAGCCGCGGUAAUACGUAGGUGGCGAGCGUUAUCCGGAAUGGUUGGGCGUAAAGGGUGCGUAGGCGGUCCUGCAAGUUUGGAGUGAAACGCCUGGGCUCAACUCAUGCAUGGCGUUGGAAACUGGAGGACUUGAGAGAAGGAGAGGGCGGUGGAAUUCCAUGUGUAGCGGUAAAAUGCGUAGAUAUAUGGAAGAACACCAGUGGCGAAGGCGGCCGCCUGGCCUGUUGCUGACGCUGAGGCACGAAAGCGUGGGGAGCAAAUAGGAUUAGAUACCCUUGUAGUC